AUUGAACGCUGGCGGCAGGCCUAACACAUGCAAGUCGAGCGGAUGAAGGGAGCUUGCUCCUGGAUUCAGCGGCGGACGGGUGAGUAAUGCCUAGGAAUCUGCCUGGUAGUGGGGGAUAACGUCCGGAAACGGGCGCUAAUACCGCAUACGUCCUGAGGGAGAAAGUGGGGGAUCUUCGGACCUCACGCUAUCAGAUGAGCCUAGGUCGGAUUAGCUAGUUGGUGGGGUAAAGGCCUACCAAGGCGACGAUCCGUAACUGGUCUGAGAGGAUGAUCAGUCACACUGGAACUGAGCCACGGUCCAGACUCCUACGGGAGGCAGCAGUGGGGAAUAUUGGACAAUGGGCGAAAGCCUGAUCCAGCCAGGCCGCGUGUGUGAAGAAGGUCUUCGGAUUGUAAAGCACUUUAAGUUGGGAGGAAGGGCAGUAAGUUAAUACCUUGCUGUUUUGACGUUACCAACAGAAUAAGCACCGGCUAACUUCGUG
rnacentral:rRNA from 1 species